AAACUUAAAUGAAUUGACGGGGACCCGCACAAGCGGUGGAUGAUGUGGUUUAAUUCGAUGCAACGCGAAAACCUUACCCACCUUUGACAUGUACGGAACCCUUUAGAGAUAGAGGGGUGCUCGAAAGAGAACCGUAACACAGGUGCUGCAUGGCUGUCGUCAGCUCGUGUCGUGAGAUGUUGGGUUAAGUCCCGCAACGAGCGCAACCCUUGCCAUUAGUUGCUACGAAAGGGCACUCUAAUGGGACUGCCGGUGACAAACCGGAGGAAGGUGGGGAUGACGUCAAGUCCUCAUGGCCCUUAUAGGUGGGGCUACACACGUCAUACAAUGGCCGGUACAAAGGGCAGCCAACCCGCGAGGGGGAGCCAAUCCCAUAAAGCCGGUCGUAGUCCGGAUCGCAGUCUGCAACUCGACUGCGUGAAGUCGGAAUCGCUAGUAAUCGUGGAUCAGCAUGUCACGGUGAAUACGUUCCCGGGUCUUGUACACACCGCCCGUCACACCAUGGGAGCGGGUUCUGCCAGAAGUAGGUAGCCUAACCGUAAGGAGGGCGCUUACCACGGCAGGGUUCGUGACUGGGGUGAAGUCGUAACAAGGUAGCCGUAUCGGAAGGUGCGGCUGGAUCACCUCCUUUAUG
rnacentral:rRNA from 1 species